GUGGGGAAUAUUGCACAAUGGGCGAAAGCCUGAUGCAGCGACGCCGCGUGAGCGAUGAAGUAUUUCGGUAUGUAAAGCUCUAUCAGCAGGGAAGAAUAAAUGACGGUACCUGACUAAGAAGCUCCGGCUAAAUACGUGCCAGCAGCCGCGGUAAUACGUAUGGAGCAAGCGUUAUCCGGAUUUACUGGGUGUAAAGGGAGUGUAGGCGGUUUUAUAAGUCUGAUGUGAAAGCCCGCGGCUCAACCGCGGUACUGCAUUGGAAACUGUAGAACUAGAGUGUCGGAGAGGUAAGUGGAAUUCCUAGUGUAGCGGUGAAAUGCGUAGAUAUUAGGAGGAACACCAGUGGCGAAGGCGGCUUACUGGACGAUUACUGACGCUGAGGCUCGAAAGCGUGGGGAGCAAACAGG
rnacentral:rRNA from 1 species